AUAAUUGCGUCACAAACCACAGGUUGCAGCUUCACGGGCAUGACGGACGGGGCAACCAGUUUUCUACGACUGUUAUUUUUCCUCUGGCGAGCUGAGAUAACUUGGAAACUACAAACCUUGCUGUGAUGCCCAUAACACCCACGAGCGUGCUACAUGCCUGGAGCACCGCUUCACGAGGAAGUAAAUCUUCAUUCCCGACGAGACGAGCGGCGAGGCGGCACCGCGGCUCCAGGCGGGGCGGCGGCUCCUCCGACACCCGCGUCAUGCCCUUCAGCUUCCAGCAGCAGACGAGCGGCUGAACAGACACUCCCCGGGAUGACUGAACGACAGCCAGGCUGGACUGAAUGAUCCAGCAGUUGCAGGUGUGGCCAGGUGUUGCAACCCUCCAAUAAGCACCUGUACCAAUCUGGAUAGAGAUGUGUAGUUCACAGUGUAAGGACAAUCCAGUUGUCUGUCAAACAUCUGGCACUGUUGCCCAAAAGAGCUGACAAACUCCGAGCCAAGUUUUUUUUUCUUUACACUCUGGCCUAUAGCGUUGGUAGGCUUUCUUCUGGGCCCUGGUGGUCGACCCAAACCCGUCAUGGCGCAGGCAAGUGUUUAUAGCAGCACCAUUUCUUCUUGGCUCAUGCUGCCCGCCGGAGCUCAUUCUUGAUUCACUUGGACAGUUCCUCUAGAGUUGGGGUUGAUAGGUGAUCUUCAGGACAGCACGUGGGUAGCCUUAUGUCACUUGGCAAUGACUGAAAAAUCCCAGGUGGUAGCAGAGAAUUUGAACCCACAUUGUCCAGAACUUGGUGAACGCAGGACCUGCACACUAACCAUUCAGCCACUGCCUCUCUGUUCCAACAU